rnacentral:rRNA from 1 species
CAAGGGUGCCGCAGGGUAGCUAUGUACGGACGGGAUAACCGCUGAAAGCAUCUAAGCGGGAAGCCUCCCUUGAGAUAAGCAAUCUUCGAACCGUCAUAGACCAUGACGUUGAUAGGCCGGGUGUGGAAGCGCAGUAAUGUGUGGAGCUAACCGGUCCUAAUAGUUCUUUUCGCGCUUG